rnacentral:sRNA from 1 species
UUUCAACUUACCGAAAAACAAAAAAUAAGGACAGGCAGUCUUUUUGAUACGAAAUGCGAUUAACGUGAACAAGCGACGCGAUUAGGCAACAGAACAACAGAAGAAACAACACGGAACACGAGGGGACCCUAACAAACCGGACCGCGACGCGAACAAGAAG